AAAACGACUGGAUGGAUCUACGAACAGGUGACAUUUCCAGAUUGAGUCUGCUGCCAUCGCGACAAGGACCUGGAGAUGCACCGAAAACGACUGGAUGGAUCUACGAACAGGUGACAUUUCCAGGUAAGUUAAAUGAUCAGUCAGGGAUGGAGGAACGAUCUCAAGCAAGUAGAGUUGCAAAGUAGAAGGAGCCACAAAGAAACACUAGACUCUCCCUGAUAAUGUUACAAUCCUAUAGGUUAGUGUUCUGGCCAUCAUUUUUUAUUGUUUCAGCUUUAAGGAGAAACCAUGCUUUAUCUAUCUGUUUG